rnacentral:rRNA from 1 species
UCUGCCCUAAAGUUCGGAACAACCUGCCGAAAGGUGAGCUAAUACCGAAUGUGAUCGUUUGCAGGCAUCUGUGAAUGAUCAAAGCUGGGGAUCGUAAGACCUGGCGCUUUAGGAUGGGCCCGCGGCCUAUCAGCUAGUUGGUGAGGUAACGGCUCACCAAGGCUAAGACGGGUAGCCGGUCUGAGAGGACGAUCGGCCACACUGGAACUGAGACACGGUCCAG